CAUCAUUUACCUGAAUUUGUCUGGUAUUGUGAAUAUGACAACUUUUGGAGCAUCAUUGCCAUUGCUAACAGUAGGCAAUCUGGUUCAGCCUUUUGAGUCUGGGGUGAAUGAGUCACAGUGGGAAAGUGGAUGAUGCACUUCAGGGGCUGUUAUUUUUUUGGCUGCUGAGUACCAUUAUUAUGGUGAUAUGUUCAGUUGGUGUUCAGGGAGGGUUAGAACCUCUACUGUGAGAGCUUGCUGAAUGCUUUUCAGGGCUGCUUAUCCCCGUUUGGUGUCUACCUCUUUCCCAGCUCUUACCUGUGGCUCCAAGCUAUAGUUUUCAGCAGCAGCCUGUUAAAACUGUCCAGGCAGAUGGGUUAAGCUUGGGUUUAUGUCUAACUCUAGGCUUGUGAAGACAUCUCCUGCCAGAACAGAUGGAUGAGGCAAUUUGUUUCAGUAGCCAUGAAGGUGGCUGAAGCAAACACUUUCGAGUGCUUAAAACUUGGAUGGCUAUUAGAGACACUGACAUCAUUCAGCAAUGUCCAAGGAUACAAUUGGCGGAGCUUCUUUUGUUUUAAAAAACAUGAUGAACAAGUAAAGAAUGUGCACAAGCAGGAAGAAACUGACCAAAAGGUAAAUUUUCUUUAUGUGAAAUUUGUCAUAAAGAUUUAUGUGCAUUUCUCCAUUUUAAUUACUAGGUAAUAAGCUUGUAAAACAAUCUCUAAGACCCUUUAGCAGUUUUCACUAUCAAUGGUUAUAUUAACAUAGGCCAAUCUAAGCUUUUAAAUAUUGUCUCUCUUGAUCUCUAGCUAUUUGAUGACGCCUCUGCUUCUUUUAUACCCCAAAGCUGCUGGUGUCUGACUGGAUAGAAACUAAAGUUGGCCAUUGAUUAAAGAGUAUUGGAAUGAAAAAAUAUAUCCUGAAAUUUGAUUAUAAAAGAGUAAGCGGUGAAGAACUUCUUGAAUUAGACAAUGACGCAUUAAAAGUAAGCUUCAGAAUUGGCUUUUUAUAUAUGCUAUAUAACCUUUUUUAUGGUGGACAUUGGAUGAAAAACAGUACAAAUAAUGGGAUUCCUAUAUAUGGCCCAUUUGACAACCUUAUGGUUUUAAGGAAAACAUGUUAACUACCUUUUUGAAUGUAGUUUCAAGAAAUGUUUUUUUAAUGUGAUUUGCUCCCCCUUUUUUUAGUAUUCCUGCCAUAUGGUCAUUCCUUUUUAUUUCUAUUUAUUUAUUGAAACCUUAUAUCUUCCAUUUUAGAAUAUAUAACAUGUAUGUUUCCGAGGAAAAAAAGUUUUAAGAGGUGGGCAAUGUGAGGCAAGUGACUGUCUCAGCAUCAUACUUCUAGGGGGUCACAUUUGAAAUCAGGACCUCUUUUCACUAGGUCUGGUUCUCAAUCUAUUGAGCCACCAUUUUUUUUUUCUUUUUUUAGAAUUCUAUCUAUUAACAAACACUGGAAAGCAGAAAAGCCAUAUUUUAAUUUUUGACCAGGCAGAUUAACUUCAUUGAAACAGAUUAAAAAAACAGUAAUCAUGGGAAAUGGCAAGCUUUCAUUUCAUUUAUAGUAAAUGAAAUAUCAAUAUUUUAACUUAUCUCUGAAAGUACCAAAUAAAUUAUUUCAAAAAGAUCA
ensembl:lncRNA